rnacentral:tRNA from 1 species
AAUUAAGAAGCAAUAAUGCGUUCAGUUUCGACCUGAAAGAAAGAUUUAAUAAUCCUUAAUUA